GAUGAACGCUGGCUACAGGCUUAACACAUGCAAGUCGAGGGGAAACGACGGGGAAGCUUGCUUCCCCGGGCGUCGACCGGCGCACGGGUGAGUAACGCGUAUCCAACCUGCCUCUGACUGAGGGAUAACCCGUCGAAAGUCGGCCUAAUACCUCAUGGCAUCGUCUGCGGGCAUCCAACGACGAUUAAAGAUUUCAUCGGUCAGGGAUGGGGAUGCGUCUGAUUAGCUAGUUGGCGGGGUAACGGCCCACCAAGGCGACGAUCAGUAGGGGUUCUGAGAGGAAGGUCCCCCACAUUGGAACUGAGACACGGUCCAAACUCCUACGGGAGGCAGCAGUGAGGAAUAUUGAUCAAUGGGCGAGAGCCUGAACCAGCCAAGUAGCGUGCAGGAUGACGGCCCUAUGGGUUGUAAACUGCUUUUAUGCGGGGAUAAAGUGAGGGACGUGUCCUUCAUUGCAGGUACCGCAUGAAUAAGGACCGGCUAAUUCCGUG
rnacentral:rRNA from 1 species